UUAAAGAGUCUGUGUAUUUUUUUCUGACAGUAGGUUUGAUAGACGUGAUGUUCGUGCUCUUUCAGGUGUUGAGACGUCUUGAUUACAGUAGUUUAAUGUUUUAUAGUGAGACACUGCCAGUAUUAAUGUAUCUGUAUAAUGUUUCUUGUCUUGUCCAGGCACAUAUUCCAACAUAUAUAACAGACCCAAAGUCAUUAAAGACCCACCAAAGAUAAAGCCGAUCCGUGUGUCCAGUAAAACGGGUAUCCCUCUGGACGUCCUUCCUGCCAGAGGCCUGACCGCCAAGCAGGCCGAGCGCAUGACGAGGAUCAACGACUCGGACCUGCCUCGGGUCUCCACCCAGCCUCGCCACAGGGAGGAGAGCAAAGAGGAGAGGAGACAAGGAAACAGGCCAUCAAGGACGAACGCAAGGAAAGGAGAGUCGAGAAGAAAGCCAACAAGAUGGCGUUCAAGGAGGAAAAAGUCAGACAGGAGAAGCAGAUGUUGAAUCUGAGAACAAACAUUCAAGGCAUGAAACUUUAGCUCCCCAACGCCGGCGUUCUGCCCGCACAGACUUUUCACCACGGACACGCUGCUCCUCACUUCAGUGGAGCUGACAGGAUGGAAAACAAGAGGACUGACAGGCUCUGGGUUUUUUAAGACCAGAAUUUCUUCAAAUCAUAAAGUUAAUUUAACUCCACUUUAAAUAUAAGGAGCAAAAAUCUUGAUGUUGUAACAGUUUGAAAUCCGGGAAAAGUAAAGGCUGAGUAUCGCACCAGAAUGUUUUGUAUCAAAAGUUGGCUUUGAAUUUCUGAAUUUACUUUUUCUAUUAUUUUCUUCUUCUUAUGCUAAAGGAAAUGCUCUAACUUUAGGGAAAUAUGCUUAUUGACUUGGCAGAGAAAAGAUAGAUCCCAUCCUCAUAUUUGCACGCUAACAGCCCACUAACUUAGCAGAGCAUAAAGACUGGAAACGAGGUAGUGUGGCUCUGUCCAAAGGUAAAAGAAAAAUAAUCCACCUACCAGCUCCUCUAAAUCUCACUAAUUAUUAUGUUUAACCAGUACGAAAACAUUAAGGAAAGACAAACCGCCUUGUUACAGGGGUUAUGUGCUGGACUAUUUCCUUGCUAUAAAAGAAACAUGAAACUGUCAAGCACACACAUUAUUCCUGUAACAUUUGAGGAGUUUGACUGCUUUUGUUAAAUGGGGGAGAAAAAAAGAUUUGAGCAAAGUGUUUAUUUUGCCCAUAAAGCUCUCUGUGCCAUCUCAGCUAUCAUCAGGAUGUCUUCACCCACACCUGCAAACGUCUCUUGUUUACAAAAGCAAAUAAAUAUCGUUCACGUCUCUUUAU